UGGUAUUUUAGUGGAAACUGGGAUGAAUUUCAUAAUGGAAAGUUUUUUCUUAGCAAAAUUAAAUGCUCAAAUAAUAAAUAAAAAUAAAUCAAUAAAAUAGCAGCUCAAAUGAUGAAUCAAUUUAUUUUCAUUAUUUGAUGAAUUAAUGAGGUGGGCGUGGUCGUCGCGUAGCUUCAGCCUGUCAAUCACUGAGAGAGCGCGCGUGUGUGUCGUCUCCCCUCAGACAGUUUUACUUCAGAUUUGUUAGUAAUGUCCAGUUUUAACUGCAAAACUGACCGGUUUAACUCUGUUGUCUUGUAUUAACUGUAAAUGAUUUUUAAUUACUCUAUCGCUCGUCAUUUUAACAGAACCGAUAUUUCACGAUAUAUUCAGCGCGAUCGCUUAAGUAUCGAAUUGACCGGCCACAUCAAAACCAGACCAUUGUCAAAUUGUACACAAUUCCGUUUAACUGAGGGAGAAAAAUGUGAAACUGCACUCCUAUCGCGUGAAGAUUAUUCCACAACAAGAUGUAGUUGAUAUCUUGUAAAUUCUUAGAUUUUUAGUUUCUUUUUUAAGCUCCUUUGAUGUGAUUUCAACAUGAAUUCCUGUGGUCAGACCCAACAAAGUGCCAGUUUCUUGACUGUCGGGUAUAAAGGUAUUGAUUACAUCUCUGAGGCCUCAGUCAGACACAGAAUGAUGAUUGGCUUGUUAGAACUUCCAGUUCCGUUCCAGCUGGUCAGUAACAUCUACCCACACAAUGGACACCUGCAGGACAACGCUUAUAGAGUACCAUGGAAGAACAAAACAUCAGUUUGUACUCUAGAAGUGACUGGGUCUGCAAUGGAUGAUUUGAAGGCCAGCACACGUUUCAGUGACUGUUUGGAGAGGUUUAAUGCGUUGCAGAUAGGAAGAGGUCAAGAGGAAGUGGUUCCCAGCUCUAACCCUGCCUCUCAGUGCAGUAUUUCUACCACAGAAGCCCUCUGGCUCCUAGAUGGAGUUGAGAGCAGUACCACCAGACCACCUUGGGAAGAGAGUUUUAGUCCAUGUUCACCAGAUACAUGCUGUGAUGAUCUUUCUCUGCCAGAGGAGGUGAUAUUCAGUGACCAUCUGCAGCAGUUCAAAAGCCACCUACCUCCUUUUCAAAGGAUGCUUCAGAGGCUGAACAUCAUGAUUGUCUCGGAUCCAGUUCUCAAUUCAUCAGUAAAUCUCUUAGAAGAGGUUAUUUUUAGACACUGUGCUCCAUAUGAUGCAGUUUUAGACAAGGUAACAGGUGCCACGUUUACUUUAAAUGCUACAGAAGAGUUCAAAAAAGAAGCAGUGCUGAAUGAAGAGUCUCUGAUGUUGCCUGUUGAAGUUCAUAUGAACUGCUUUCCAAGACAAGAGCCCAAUUAUUCCUUUGCACAAGUGCAAGAUUUUCUAAAUGUCACCCGUGAACCAAUAGAAGAAUGUUUCCCUUUAAAAGAUCUUCUCAAAGAAGUCACCACUGCUGAUAAACACACAGCUGAGUUGGAGGUCCUGGAAAUGCCUGAAAGCUGCUUUGCUAACAUCACCUUCAAGGAGCCACAAUCUCCAGUUGCUUCGAGGUCUUAUGCUGAGAUGGAAUUAGACCUGCUUCUUUCACCAUCUGGUCAUACGCUGUGUCUACCAGACCUGUGUAUGUCCAGCAGACUGUCAGCUGAGAUUCUGUCACCAGUUUAUAAGCAGCAUUUCAUGACAGACAGUGAUUGUGAAAAUAUGGAAAAAGCUGUUUGGAUGGCAGAGAAACAUCCCCA
rnacentral:lncRNA from 1 species